rnacentral:lncRNA from 1 species
GAAAUUAUUAGAUUUUAUCCUGUUUCGUAGUGGAUUGAGUUUUGCGUGUUGAUCCGUAUGUUGCUGCUUGUCAUAUGGUUCAUAUAAAUUGUCUUCACUCUUCAGCAUUGACGUGUGCUGAGAGAGACCUUGUUUUUGAAGAGCAUGGUUUAUCUGCUUUGUGCUUUACACUUUCUUAGAUAUGUGAGUUGGCAUUCAAGACCUAUGAUUAGGAAAUAGAAGUUCUAAUACUUUAUUUGUUAAUUGAACUGCUGAAGGAUACCCUAAAAGUUAAGAUCUGUUCUCUUCACAGUAGUGAUCAAAAUCAAAUGGUUUUUAUGUCUAUAUUAUUGUUGAAGAGACUUCUAAGUUUGUGAGAAGUUACAUUAAACACAAUAAAUAGACUAGAGGAUAUAAAGGGCAACUUGGUGCUAUAUAAAGUUCUUGCGAUGGUGGGUUUAGGGAAGGAUCAAAUCCAUUUUGGUUCUAAUGUAAGGCAGUCUUGCCUUGCAUUAGAAAGAGGCUAGUUCCACGGCUUGAACUUGUGACAUCCUAAUC